rnacentral:rRNA from 1 species
UACGGAGGGUGCGAGCGUUAAUCGGAAUUACUGGGCGUAAAGCGCAUGCAGGUGGUGGAUUAAGUCAGAUGUGAAAGCCCGGGGCUCAACCUCGGAAGGUCAUUUGAAACUGAUUCACUAGAGUACUGUAGAGGGGGGUAGAAUUUCAGGUGUAGCGGUGAAAUGCGUAGAGAUCUGAAGGAAUACCAGUGGCGAAGGCGGCCCCCUGGACAGAUACUGACACUCAGAUGCGAAAGCGUGGGGAGCAAACAGG